rnacentral:rRNA from 1 species
UACGUAGGGUGCGAGCGUUAAUCGGAAUUACUGGGCGUAAAGCGUGGGUAGGUGGUCGGUGAUGUGCCGUGUGAAAGCGCCGCGCUUCUCGCGGCGAGGUCGCGGUAGACACACCGACUGGAGGCACGGAGGGGGCGUAGAAUUCCCGGUGUAGUGGUAGAAAUGCGUAGAUAGUCGGGAGGAAUACCAGUGGCGCAAGCGGCGCCCUGGCCGUGACCUGACACUGGAGCCACGACGGCGUGGGGAGCAAACGGG